rfam:Ciona savignyi cont_54934, whole genome shotgun sequence.
AUCAUUUAGAGGAAGUAAAAGUCGUAACACCGUUUCCGUAGGUGAACCUGCGGUGGGAUCAUUA